CGUGUGGUGUGCGGCAAAGGCUCGUAUAGCGACACGGCCUACUAUUUGAGGU
rfam:Vibrio sp. 2756-81 Vn_2756-81_contig1, whole genome shotgun sequence.